UUGCCGGCGACCGGCGCACGGGUGAGUAACGCGUAUCCAACCUUCCGUACACUCAGGGAUAGCCUUUCGAAAGAAAGAUUAAUACCUGAUGGUAUGAUGAGAUUGCAUGAUAGCAUCAUUAAAUAUUUAUCGGUGUACGAUGGGGAUGCGUUCCAUUAGGUAGUAGGCGGGGUAACGGCCCACCAAGGCGACGAUCAGUAGGGGUUCUGAGAGGAAGGUCCCCCACAUUGGAACUGAGACACGGUCCAAACUCCUACGGGAGGCAGCAGUGAGGAAUAUUGGUCAAUGGACGAGAGUCUGAACCAGCCAAGUAGCGUGCAGGAUGACGGCCCUAUGGGUUGUAAACUGCUUUUUAUAAGGGAAUAAAGUGAGUCUCGUGAGGCUUUUUGCAUGUACCUUAUGAAUAAGGACCGGCUAAUUCCGUG
rnacentral:rRNA from 1 species